CAAACUUUCAACCACCAAAUGAUUAUCCUAUCUCGCAACGAGUACCUCGAUUAAGCAACAAUGUAGGUAAGUACACGAAGCAAUAAUCCACUACGUACAACAUCCAGCCACCGUAAGCUCGGAAGCCUUCGAGCUAUUCGACCGGUCGCGCAGUAUCGUCGCCUCUCACGCGGUGGCUGGUGAGGUCAAGGAACACGGCGCGUCGACCGAUCUCAUUUUUCGUUGGCGCUUGGUACGAAACGCGCGCGCGCGUAUCAGGCGCAAUGGUUGCAAUGCGUCCCUCGGCGCAUGGAUCGCAUCUCGGCCUCGACCGAUGUUAAAUGGCCGCCACGGCGCGCCGGGACGCAAACUAAUGCCCCGCGUCCAGCUCGUACACGUAGCGGCGCGACUGCUACCGAGCUCGGUGCCGGAUUCCGCGGCCCACCGCGUAAUGAAUCCACUUUGCGCCGUGCCGCGUUUCCUUCGACUUUUUCCACUUCCCCUCCCGCCCGAUCGGUCUUUCUUUCUCUCCGUGGCAGGCCACGAACGCCACUUAAUGAAAUGUCACAGGUGUCCUACCGAUCGCCGAGCUAAAUGUCGCCGGCUUCCCAUACCCCGCCUCGGCGAGCCAAGCGAUUUCGACUUUACGCGGAAUGCCGUGAAGAUGACGCCGCAGAUACCGACCGGUACCCUGCUCUCUCUUCCGAACCCGCGAUCCUGGAAUCUUAUCUCGUGUCGACAGUGUGUUUGUGACUCUUGGUAAAUUGUAGGGAGGAGUUGGGUUAUGGAAUUUAUUUAUUUUUUUUUUUUCUUUUUGUUUGGAUCGUUUCGAAUCACGUAUAUUUCUAUUAUUCUCGACCGAUUCGUAUAUAUAGAUGAUAUAAUGUCUAUUUUUUCUUGCAUUUAACAUAACCUAUAUCCAGAUUAAAGACUGUAAAAAAUUACGCAUAACGGUGCAAUACGUAGAUAAGUACAUAUUGAUAAUAACACAAGCUGUCGACUUAACAUGGAUAACACAACGAUUCCCGUGAAUCGAAUUCCAGAAAAUAGUGGAGAAAGCGAUGCUGAAAUGUUUAGAUACUUACAUACCUUGCGUAUUUUUUUACGUGUAAAUCGAAUAGAACGAGAUACAUCAGUCAGCUUAUUCAGUGAUUUAUAUGUUCAACAACCUCUCCAAUCAUCGCCUCAUCACUAAUGUGCAAAGAAAUCCCGCACUGACAAGUAUGUAGAAAGCAUAUGAUAGAAAUUGCACAACUAGGAUAUAUUCAGUAGAAAAGCGCAUAAAGUGCAGCCAUGUCAGGUUUCAACUGAGGUCUUGAAAAGAUAGGGAGAGCGACGAUCUAAUUCCUAUUCCGCUGCCCUCUCGAGGCACGUCGAUGAAUUAUGAUACGCAUACUUACGAACCCCCUUGUUCACGGUUCUGUACACUGAUUCCGAUCGCUACCUCUCGCCGUGCGUCGAUCUAUCGAUCGAUCGAUCGAUCGAUCCGUAAAGCGACCUCUUUGGAUUCGAUCGAUUUUUCUCGUUCAUCUUCGUGGACUGUUCGAGAGAAACGUCAAAGCCAUCCGUCACCGAUCAUUACGCGCUCGCGGAUUUCAAUGUCCUUGUUAAAAGGGAUUGCCUCGUGCGGUGACCUACGACACGCGGCAAGCUGACGAGAAGAUAGAUGGCGGCGCACGAUUUCGCCGACUGUUCUGCUUAGAGCGCAGCCAACUUGUUACGAUUUGUUGCAGCAUGGGAGAACGGUAUCGUGGAGGAAAACCUGCACACGAGAAGCGAGACAUCUCUAUCCUGAUAUGUACAAAAUCUAUUAAGAUCGUGUUAUGCAAAUUGCGUUAAUUGCGACAAUAAAAAGCUUUCAUGACUCAAUAUAUCUUAAUUGCUAAAUAAUAAUUGAAUGAUCCAUUAAAUCACUGAAAAAUCGUGCAAAUUUAAUUCUAUGGAAACGAAUAAGAAAUGUGUAUAUAUAUAUACACGAAAUAGAUUAGUGAUUAACGAUAUAGGAUAAAAAGUCAUAGAAUCAUCAUAAACAUUGCAAUUUAACUUUUAUGGAGAUGACGGUCGCUUUUGAUUUACUUAACAUGUUUCAUUUAGCAAGAACAAGUUGGUCUCUUGAGUUUAACGGGCCACCUUCGAAUACGUACAAGGUAGAUCUUCUAAGUGACGUACACGGAAAUGUUCCUUACAAAUGGUCUUAAGCAAGUUGUAAACUCGUAAAGCGCAUAAAUUCGAAUGACACGUGGAACAAGUAAGAAAGUCCUUGCGAUUUAAGUUCUUUUCUCUUCGUCGAUUUUUAUUGACGAAACAUCUGAAUUUCUUGAAAUCAACUCGAAGUUUAAUCCAACCAAUGGUACAUGCGCAUAAUCGCGUUCUCGUUGCUUGUCACGGGGCCCGCUACGUUUCCGUGAGUGCGAUUUACGCCGUGAGCGUGGUCGUCGGUCGAAGCCAGGAUAAGCGGCGUUUUAUGGAGCCCCAUGCGCCGCUCACUCCAUGGCGGAAGGGACGCACUUUGUUCCGCGGCUGCGAAUGUAUCCCCAGGCCUCGAUCCACCCACAAGGAAGCACUUGAAGAAAGAGAGAGAUGCCUUGUCGCGGAAAGAUUGUGGUCCAUACGACGUGUCAGUUGAAUUCUCUAUAUGGUGUCGCACUGACAAAAGAACAUUAAAGCAAUAUGACUGUCUUUUAAGAAAUAUUAUAACAUUUUAUUUUUUUGCUUUGAAUAAUUGACCAUUUCGUCAUGUUAUACAUAUUUACAUUUAACAUAAAUUUUGAUUUAUUAUUUUACAAAAUAACUGGUUGAUUUGAAAUGGAAACUAACGUCGUCUAUUUCUGGACACCCUGUAUGAGAAGAUAAGUCGAAAGACAGCAGCGGAGAAGCAGUUAGGCGCAAGAAGGAGUGACGGAGGGAGGCAGAAGAAGAGAGACUCGGCAGGUGAGGUGUCACGAGGCGCGCGAGUAAUAUAUCGUUGUUCGGCCCAUCGUAGGUGGGUGUGCUCAUCCCGUGGUGCUCGGUCUCUGGUAUCUCACCCAUGCCCCUGGCGCUAAGAGAAGAAGAAGGCUAAUGCUGGUAUAAACGCGCCCGAUCACUUUUUUUCCUCAGGCUCUUUCUCCCUCUUACCACCUCUUCCUCUCUCUUUCUCUCCUACCCUUUUUGAUGUUUCUCUUUCUCUUUCCGCAAGAUUGCUAUUAGCAAAUGCCAACGUGAAACGUGCACACCCGCGCUCACCUGCCUGCCACUACACCUCGCCGAUAUUUUUCUUUUUGGUAUUUUGUACUACAGAGAUUUAGACAGAUCAUGAAACAGUUAUUAUAUUGUCCUUCUUAGAAUGUUUUAUCUAGCUAUUGAGGAGAAAAUUA
rnacentral:lncRNA from 1 species